AAUUUGCAAUUUAAUUUUAAUCACAAAACAACCCUAAAAACCCACCUAAGAGGCCUGCGUUAAUGAUGGUCUAAGAGGUUUCCAGUUUCUCCUGGCUUUGCUGCUGGACCAUUUGACAGCUCUAAGCUGCACAGUGUCGAUAUAGUAGAGGUUAUGGAGAUUACAUUUGGGGAUUCGCGGCGGAUUUGUUGGCGGCAACGGCCGUGGGGAGAGUUGAUAAUUAGAGAGUGUUUGGUGAAUUUGGAGAAAUGAAAAAGUCGAAAGUACAAGAAAAUUAAACUUUCGGGUAACAUUGAAAGUAAAUGAAGAAAUUGAGGGGUCAUUUCGCCAAUUUAGUUAUUUUAAGUGGAGAAGUAGUAAAUAAGUUCUAUGUUCCGUGACAUUGAAGGUACCAUCAGAGAC